GGGGCCGUAGUCUAGCCUGGUAGGACUCAGGGCUGGGGGUCCUGAAGCCCGAGUUCAAAUCUCGGCGGCCUCA
rnacentral:tRNA from 1 species